AAUAAACGCUGGCGGCGUGCCUAACACAUGCAAGUCGGAUGUGCCGCAAGGUGCAUGGCAGACGGGUGAGUAACGCGUGGGGAAUCUACCUUUUUGUGGGGAAUAACGCUCCGAAAGGAGUGGUAAUACCGCAUGAGACCGAGUGCUGGGAUGCAUUUGGUGAAACCUGGGGACCGGUAACGGCCUGGGGCAAAGAGAGGAUCCUGCGUCUGAUUAGCUAGUUGGCGGGGUAAUGGCCCACCAAGGUGACGAUCAGUAGCCGGCCUGAGAGGGUGAUCGGCCACACUGGAACUGAGACACGGUCCAGACUCCUACGGGAGGCAGCAGUGGGGAAUUUUGCGCAAUGGGCGAAAGCCUGACGCAGCAACGCCGCGUGGGUGAUGAAGGUCUUCGGACUGUAAAACCCUUUCGUCAGGGACGAAGAUGUAUACGUUAAUAGCGUGUGCAUUUGACGGUACCUGGAGAGGAAGCCCCGGCUAACUCUGUGCCAGCAGCCGCGGUAAUACAGAGGGGGCAAGCGUUAUUCGGAAUUAUUGGGCGUAAAGGGCGCGUAGGCGGUUUUUUAAGUCAGAUGUGUAAUCCCCGAGCUUAACUUGGGAACUGCAUCUGAGACUGGAAGGCUAGAGUACUGGAGAGGGUGGUGGAAUUCCUCGUGUAGCGGUGAAAUGCGUAGAGAUGAGGAGGAACACCAGUGGCGAAGGCGGCCACCUGGACAGUAACUGACGCUGAGGCGCGAAAGUGUGGGUAGCAAACAGGAUUAGAUACCCUGGUAGUCCACGCUGUAAACGAUGAACACUUGGUGUGGAGGGAGUUGACCCCUUCCGUGCCGGAGCUAACGCGUUAAGUGUUCCGCCUGGGGAGUACGGUCGCAAGGCUG
rnacentral:rRNA from 1 species